GGAGGGUGACUGCUGACCAUGAAGAGUUCGUGCAGGGUGGAUAAAAUGGGUUGGUCCAUAGAUUCUUCCCCUAUUUGUUAUAAAAUCUAGUUGUCGUGGAAAAUCUUCUUAAACUAGACUUUCUUUCCUUUUUUCUUGAGAAUUACUACAAUGUCAUUGUUGGAAUAUAUGGGCUUGGCCCAAAUAUUUACUCAAUUAAAAGAAUUAAAAGUCCACUAAUAAAUGCUAGAGAGUUAAGUGCUUAGUUCCACAUGGAAAUUUGAGGAGGAUCUUUCCUGACUUAAAUGGUGGACUUUGAGUACACCUAUUGCAAAGUCAAUAAAAGAGAUUGGCGUGCCACGCGCGCGCUCGCUCGCCGCGCCAGGGCGUGGGCGUAACGGCUAAGGAAUAAACUUGAGAAUAUUCCAACGGUUACUGGUGUUGACAGCAAAACUUGGUUUGAUUGCCUGGUUUGAUAGCCUUGAUUACUGGGCAAAUUGAUUUCGUUUGAUGACUGUGCUGACUACCAUAUCACGUCUAGGUUCAUCCCCCCUGUCUCACCGCUCAGCUAUAUAAUUCUCCCUUUCCCCUCCUGCAGACUCGCACCAAGUACUGCUUUCAGGAGACUUCUCUCUUCUCCCUCUGUCUUUCUGCUACGCUCUUGUAUUCCCAUCGCUAGCACUGCACGCGCACGUUCUGGCGAGAGCAGAGCCUCCAGAACCUCGCCUUCUGCCAGAGAUCCUGCUCGGGAUAGGCAGGCGAUAAGGUUUUUUGGGAGCGUUGAACGCGACUGCUCACUCCCUUCCUGAUCAACUAUGUCCUGAUGCCCGAGAAGCUGAUCGACUACGACGACUACUUCCUGGUGGCCGAGACGCUGAUCAACUACGAUGACUACUUCCUGGUGGCCGAGACAUUGAUCGACUACUUCCUCUUCUUCCUGGAGGCCGUUCGAGGGACUGCACUGCAACGACCUCUUCCUGCAUCAUUAUUGUAUGACUACAUCAACUGAGGCCAUCCCACGACUAGUAUGACUAGUCCAGAUGGUAACGGCGCAUCCGGUGCCUCCGGCACUGGCCCCGUCCCAGGGUACAUUCUAAAUCAUCUAUGCCUAUUUUUGUUCCUGUUUAUUAGUUGUUUAAACUUGAACACUGGCACAUUUUACAUUUUAUCUUAUCACUGAAUCACUCAACAUAUUCAUAAUAAUAUUUUACAUGUUUAAUUUUGGAAUUAAAAUAUACCGAAAUAUGCCUAAAUUUCUAAAAUCCAAAAACCUUAUAUUGUUGAUAGGCUUUCGGUAUCUAGUUUUGCUACGUCUAUAAAAUUGAAUGUAUUUGAUGGUUCCAAUUAUAAGCGUUGGUGUGAGAGGCUUACGUUGUGGUUGACAGCCAUGAACGUUAUGCAUGUCGUAGUUGGAAAGCCCGAGGGCAAACGUCAGAGGAUCCAAGUGCCUUUGAUCGUGCUGAUAGCUUUUUCCAUGGCGCCAUCAUAAGCGUUCUAGCUGAAAAUCUUAUUGACACGUACCUCACACUGCCAACUGGUAAAGAGAUGUGGGAAACUCUUGAGGCUCAGUUUGGAGUUUCUGAUGCUGGCAGUGAGUUGUAUCUCAUGGAGGAGUUCCUUGACUACAAGAUGGUUGAAGACCGUCCCGUAGUAGAACAAGCCCAUGAAAUUCACGCGCUAUCAAAAGAUUUCAAAGACUGUAACAAAGAGAUUCCUUGUGUGUUGCUCGACAAGUUUGUGGCCGGAGCUAUUAUCUCUAAGCUGCCACUUUCUUGGAGGGAUUUUGCUACUUCCCUGAAACACAAGAGAAAAGAGUUCAGUAUCUCUGAUCUCAUUGGGACUCUUGAUGUUGAAGAGAAGGCGAGAGCAAAAGACACACGAGUAAAAGGAAUUGUUGGAGCUUCAAGUGCCAACUUUGUUCAGAAGAACAAUUCCAAUUCCCAAAAGAAGAGAAAAAAGCCACUGCAAAACCAAGGAAAGACUAAACAAACAAUUGCACCGGUUAAGAAGAAGAAGAAGGGAUUCUGCUUUGUGUGCGAGAGUCCGGACCACUUUGCUUAACAGUGUUCAAAUCACAAAGGCAGGAAGUCUGCCAACAUGGUUAUAAGCGAGGCUAGAGGAACAUCGGGGUACGGUAAUUUAUUACCUACAGUUCUUUUAGUAUGCUACUCACCCGAGUGGUGGAUUAACACCGGGGCUAAUAUCCCCAUGUGUGUGCUGAUAUCUCUUUAUUUUCCUCUUACCAGAUCGAAGGGACUGGCUCCUUGUUAAUGGGAAACGGAUCACAUGCGCGUGUUCUUCGUGGUGGUACGGUCAAUCUGAAGCUUACUUCGAGAAAGACCGUGCAAUUGAAGAACGUGCAACAUGUCCCCACUAUCAAGAAGAGUCUAGUCAGCGGAUCUCUACUGUGUAAGGAUGGUUAUAAGUUAGUCUUUGAGUCCAAUAAAUGUAUUAUGUCUAAGUUUGGUACUUUUACUGGAAAAUGUUAUGAUAGUGAAGGCUUGUUCCGAUUUUCUUUGUCUGAUGAUUGUAAUAAAGUUGUGAACAACGUUGUUAAUGUUGAUGAAUCAAAUGUUUGGCAUUUGAGGCUUUGUCACAUUAAUUUUGGUUGUAUGACGCGCUUAUCUAAUUUGAGUUUAAUUCCAAAAUUUACCUCCGUCAAAAAUUCUAAGUUUCAUGUUUGUGUUGAAUCAAAACAAACUCGCAAGCCUCACAAGGCUGCAGAGUCGAGAAACUCGGCACCUUUAGAAUUAAUUUAUUCCAAUCUGUGCGAAAUAAAUGGUGUGUUGAUAAAAGGUGGUAAAAAAUAUUUCAUGACUUUGAUAGAUGACUGCACUAGAUUUUGUUACAUUUAUUUGUUGAAGUCAAAAGAUGAUGCAUUGCAUUACUUUAAAAUCUAUAAAGCUGAAGUAGAAAACUAACUAGAGAGAAAGAUCAAAAAAAUUAGGUCGGAUCGUGGUGGCGAGUACUUCUCAAAUGUUUUCACUUCAUUCUGCGAGGAACAUGGUAUUAUUCAUGAGAGGAUGCCUCCCUAUUCACCUCAGUCAAAUGGGGUUGCCGAAAGGAAGAACCUCACUCUAACUGAUUUGGUUAACGCCAUGUUAGAUACAACGGGACUUUCUAAGGAAUGGUGGGGUGAGGCUAUAUUGACUGCUUGUCAUGUCCUAAAUCGUGUUCCUACAAAGAAUAAAGAAAUAAUACCAUUCGAGGAAUGGGAGAAGAAGAGGCUAACACUUUCUUCCUUACGUACUUGGGGAUGUGUGGCGGAUCCACUACGGAUUAGCUUGCUUAAACAUGGUUAAGUCGCCUAACACGCGACUCUCAUGCCUAAGCCAAGUUAACACGAAAUGCCGUCGGAUUUCCUCCGAUUUAACCACUUGAACAGGACCGAGUUAGCAAACUCACACGAAGGUGAGCGGUUCCAGAGAAUACAACAAGUCCACCGAGUUAACCAACUUAACUAUUUAGUUCGGCCAUAAAACAAACAUUAGAGUUUUACAAGGUUCAAAAGAAAACAACAGAAGGCAAAAAUGAGCGGAAGCUACUUCGCCGGGGUCGGACAUCCUUGGUGAGGCCAGCCAAGACGUCAGUGAUCCCUCUCCUCGCCGUCCGAGGAGGGAUCCCACUCGACCGUGCAACCCGGAGGGAGCUGGGGCGGCCAAGUGCCAACAGAAGAAGGCUCGAGAGUAGCAACUUCACCUGAAAAAGAAAAGCCACAACAAGGCUGAGCUACUAAGCUCAACAAGGCUUAACCGACAGGAGUAAAGCUACUCCACCUCUUCUAGGCAUGCAAGGCUCUUUGGCUGAGGGGUUUGGUUGCCAAAAAGCACUAUGUAGAUCCCUGUUUUCAAGUUUUAGCUCAGAUUCUAGGUUCAUUAACCGGUCUAAAUGAGCACUUACUCUAAGCAAACAUAGAACCAUCCAAAAGGUAUCUAUAUAAUCAUCAAGACCAUGUCAUCAUCAGAUUUCUUUAUUACUCAGGGUAGCAUAGCGAUCAAGCAGUCUCAAACUGUGAGAGGCAGAUGAAUCGAUUCGAUUUCUUUAACCAUGCAUGGUGAAUCUAACCUCAUGACAUCCGCGCACCACCGAGGGUCGCUUCCUGCGUCGGCCUUCCCCAUCAAUCCCCUAACCCGUGUCGGGCCCAUUUCCUUUGGUGCAAUGUUCCACAGAUCCGGCCUCUGCCGUUCUGUGACCACACUUGCCACCACGUGCGGCCGCAAGGGAACUCCGUUCCAAGGACAAUGGGGCGACCGCUCACGUCUAGGUUCAAUCCGGUACUCGGCUUCCUCAUCCCAUAAUAAGUAUGAGGUUAGUACUUUCAAACACUUGAUCACGAACACCACCACUGUCGGGCCUUAACAAGUUUCAUAGACAGACGGGGCGAUCAGCCGACCACCAAAGAGUUAAACAAAACCCUGCCCCGUCCAUCGUCCUUAUAGUUGUAACAGAAAGGAAACAACCAACUCCUUACAACUCGCGAGUGACAGGAAAUCACUCGGCUUUUACCGUUUCCUAUUUAAGCAUGGCAACUACUCGGUCCAACAGCUAGUGUUCAGAUCAGGGAACUAAGUCAUGUUUCUACGGUUUCAAGAAACUCCUAUACGUAAAUGCACAAACAAGGAACAGAAGGCAUGCGCAAGUUUGGAAAAACUGGGUUCAUGCUCCGGGGCUUGCCUUCAAACGAGGAGGAAGGGAUGGGGUCUUCUGCGAAGGCGGCUUCGGCUUCUGGAAGCAGGAGCUCUGCUGUAACUUCGUCUUCUAGCGCCGGGUACAACUCGUAGAAGCCGUCGGCGAGACGCAGCUCUACACGAAUGCAAUGCAAGAGUUAGCAUUUAGACGGUUAUUUCAACAGCAACACUUGCAAGUUCUAGCUCCGAAACUUUGUAGCAUGGCUACGGAAAAAGGUGGGGAAGUUGGCUUGAGUUGGAGAAGAACAAGGUAAAAGGGUCGGAUGGAAAGAAGCUUAUGAUCUAACUCUUAGACUAGAGGAAUAGAUGUGUUGGGGGUCCUCAGACUUAACGCUGACAAGUCUCCACAUCUUUACACAUAUACCCUCGGGUCUAGGAAAAGGAUACAGCCGAGCCCUCGGGCGAGGCGGAGAAAGGGUCGGCGAAAUAGAUAGGGUCGGGCGAGAUGGAACAGGGGUCGGGUGGAUAGAAGGGGUCGGACGAGGCGGAAAAAGGGUCGGCAGCCUACCUUCGUCUUACAGGUGAAGCUUGGGGUCAGGAAGAAGCAGACUUGGGCGGAAGGAUUAAGGCUUUGGAUAGCGGCGAGGUCCGGCGGUGCUCCGGCGGCGGCGGUGCUUCUUGUGGACCACAAGCAAGCUCUUGCGCAGCACGGAGGAGCAAGCGAAUGGGUGGAUUGGGGAUGAUGGUGUGGAGCGGAGCGGAGAGUUCCUCCGGGACUUAGGUGGUAGCGCUGCGAGCACGAAGCAGAGAGCAAGACGGAAGGGCAGCGAUGGCGAAGGGACCUCCGGCGGAGCUCUGGCAUUGCCUUUUAUAGCUGCGCGGAAGAGUGAGAGGGUUGGAGCGGCGCGAAGACCGGGAAGAAGCGAUCGAGUGCUCUGCCGGGGCGGAGAUUGAGCAGCGGUGCAGCGGAGCAGGGCUUCGGGGAUGACACCGGCGGUCAUUGGGCACCAGAGAUGGGGCGGCGCAGGCGCGAUUUUGCCGGUGGUUGAGAUUUGGCGGAGGCGGGCGUCGUCGUGCGGUGGAUCUGAUGGAAGUGAUCGGGGGAACGGCGCUGGAAGCGAGGGCGCACAGGUGAGAAGACAGGCGGCUGCGGUCGCGCGGGCGAGCGCGGAGCAACAGAUUGUCGGGGGCGUAGCUCUGACAGGGCGGAAAAGGAGCUGUCGCGGCCGUGGUCUGGGUUGGCGGAGAAGGAAUCGUCGCGUAGCGCAGUCCGGGCGGCGCGACUGUGGAGGGGCGGCGGAAAAGGCGGGAGGCAUCGGGCUCCGCAGCCGGGGGUCCGGCGGGGUGAUGAUGGGCGCGGGCGGCGAGGUGCUGCAGAAAGGGUUGCAGAGGGCUUCUACUGCGAUUGGGGAAGGGGGCGCGGAUAUCCAUCUGGUCGCGGCCGGCGACGAGGCGGAGCGACGGGUGUCGGAGAAGUUGAGCCACGCGGCGGAGAAGCUCUGAGGCGGGCAUGCUACUGGAGUGCGUCUGCCGCGGGAGAUGUGGGAGAAAGAUUUUGUGGGUCCACCGGUCAGUCUCGAUUGGUCCACUUCUCAGAUUGAGAGAGAGAUGUUGCGGGAAGACUUAGAAGGAUCCUGCGGUUGAGUUGGGGUCGGCGGGGUCGGAACGGGGAGCCAGCGGAGAGGGGUCGGAUCUCAGGGGUCGGGACCGGACUGGAGGUUGAGCACUUCACUCGGGAAGCUGAGGUAGGGGGAUGGGAAACUCGGAUUAAGAUUAACUCAUGAGAAUUGGGGUCGGUCGUCACAGGAUGUUUGGUAAAAGUCAGUGUGCCAAUAACUAAGAAGCGUAAGCUUGGACCUAAAACUGUGGAUUAUGUGUUUCUGGGUUAUGCUAUUCACAACAUUGGUUAUAGAUUUUUAGUAGUAAAAUCUGAAGUACCUGACUUGCAUGUUGGUACUAUCAUGGAGUUUAAAGAUGCUACAUUUUUUGAGAAUAUUUUUCCAAUGAGAGAUGAAAUAAGUGAAUCUAGGCAAGAGUUUAUCGAGAAGGAUAUCUCUACCAAUGUGAUAGAACACAAUGAACCUACACUUGUUGAAAAUUCUGAGGAGGAUAACAAUGAAGCUCCCAGAAAGAACAAGAGACGAAGGAUUGAAAAGUCUUUCGGUGAUGAUUUCAUUGUAUACCUCCUGGAUGACACUCCUAGAACCAUUGAAGAGGCAUAUUCAUCCCCUGAUGCUGACUAUUGGAAGGAAGCAGUAAGGAGUGAAAUGAAUUCUAUUAUGUCUAAUGGAACUUGGGAAGUCAUUGAACGUCCUUAUGGGUGCAAACCUGUAGGGUGCAAGUAGGUGUUCAAGAAGAAGCUUAGGCCUGAUGGUACUAUUGAAAAGUACAAGGCAAGGCUUGUGGCUAAGGGCUAUACUCAGAAAGAAGGAGUAGACUUCUUUGGCACUUAUUCACUUGUUGCUAAUUGACCACAAUUCGAGUGUUACUUUCCCUAGCAACCUCUUAUGGUCUUCUCGUCCAUCAAAUGGAUGUUAAGACAGCUUUCGUAAAUGGAGAGUUGAAGGAGGAGAUCUAUGUGGAUUAGCUAGAAGGGUUUGUAGCAAAAAGUCAAGAAGGAAUAGUGUGUAAGUUGUUAAAAUCUUUGUAUGGUCUCAAGCAAGCUCCUAAGCAGUAGCUGGCUUUGUUGUGAACAAAGCUGACAAAUAUGUGUACUAUCACUUUGGUGGGGGUGAAGGAGUGAUACUGUGCUUAUAUGUCGAUGACAUAUUAUUUUUUGGGACAAGCCUUAAUGUGAUUAAGGAAGUGAAGGACUUUUUAUCUCAAAACUUUGAGAUGAAAGAUUUAGGAGAGGCUGAUGUUAUCCUUAAUAUAAAACUAGUAAGAGAAGGUGAUGGUGGGGUUACACUGUUGCAAUCCCAUUAUGUGGAAAAGGUUCUAAGUCGCUUUGGUUAUAGUGAUUGCAAACCUGUUUCAACAUCUUAUGAUGCUAGUGUAAUUCUAAGGAAAAAUAAAAGGAUAAUAAGAGAUCAGCUGAGAUACUCUUAAAUUAUUGGUUCAUUUAUGUACUUGGCUAGUGCUACGAGGCCUGACAUCUCGUUUGCUGUGACCAAACUAAGCCGGUUUGUUUCAAACCCAGGAGAUGAUCAUUGGAAUGCUCUGGAGAGAGUAAUGCGCUAUCUAAAAGAUAUUGUGAACUAUGGGAUUCACUAUGCUGGGCACUUAAGGGUACUUGAAGGUUAUAUUGUCUCAAAUUUGAUCUCUAUGCUGAUGAGAUAAAAGCCACAAGUGGAUAUGUAUUCACACUUGGAGGUGAUGCUGUUUCCUGGAAGUCUUGCAAGCAUACCAUCUUAACGAGGUCAACAAUGGAAGCAGAACUCCCAGCAUUAGACACCACCACUGUUGACGCUGAGUGGCUUCAUGAGCUCCUAAUGGACUUACCGAUAGUUGAAAAAAUGAUACCAGCAAUUCUAAUGAACUGUGACAACCAAACUAUGAUUGUCAAGGUGAACAGUCUUAAGGAUAACAUGAAGUCAUCAAGGCAUGUCAAGAGGCGGUUGAAAUCUGUCAGGAAAUUGAGAAACUCCGGAGUUAUAGCUUUGGACUAUGUUCAAACAGCUAAGAAUCUGACAGAUCAAUUUACAAAGGGUCUUUCACAAAAUGUGAUAGACAAUAUAGUUAUGGAAUUGGGCUUGAGACCCACGUGAGUUACUCUAUAGUGGUAACCUGUUCUAUGUGAUCGGAGAUCCCAUGAAGUAGGAUGGUGAAACAAGCUAUAGUUUAACUGAGAGAAGAGAACCUUUGAAUAGACUCAUUCCAGUGAAAAUGCAUUUCUCUUCAAUAUUGUAUGGCAGGUUGGUUUAUACCUUAAUGCAUUCCAAGUAGCCUCUUUGAAACAAGGGAGUUGUUUCUUUGAAGCAAAGAUGUUGUCCUAAGAACAUCUUUUGAGGAAUGCACCUAUAUGGGUCUGACUACUGAUCAUAGUCUAUGAGAUGUGGGUGAUCUCUAUAAACUCAUGAAAGGUCUGGAGUAUGACUUAUAAGCUCCAAACCGCAGGGAUGCUUUCACAGCUUAGUAUCAGUGAAGGGCUCUGGUCAAACUUGUUUGCACACGACUGUCAAUUCAAGGUAUAGUCCAUUGUACAGUUGUGAAUAAGUGUAGCCUUAGUUCUAGAUGGAAGUUCAACUUAAUAGCCUCCAUCAAAUACUAGUAUAUCAAAGAUUACAGUGGAUCUGAGAGCAUUUCUAGUGUGGCUUGAAAUUAUUGGUGGGGAUUGUUGGAAUAUAUGGGCUUGGCCCAAAUAUUUACUCAAUUAAAAGAAUUAAAAGCCCACUAAUAAUUGCUAGAGAGUUAAGUGCUUAGUUCCACAUGGGAAUUUGAGGAGGAUCUUUACUGACUUCAAUGGUGGACUUGGAGUACACCUAUUGCGAAGUCAAUAAAAGAGAUUGGCGUGCCACACGAGCGCGCUCGCCUUGCCUCGCCUCGCCGGGUCGGGCUGGGCCGUGGGCGUGGGCGUAGGCGGGGCGUGGCGUGCCGAGCCGAGCGACGCGACGAGCCGACCGAGCAAAGCAACGUGAUGUGUUGCGGUGUGGUGAACCUUUUGCUGGUCAUCAGAGUCAUCAAUUGAGUCAAUACAGUAACGGCUAAGGAAUAAACUCAGGAAUAUUUCAACGGUUACUGGUUUGAUAGCCUUGAUUACUGGGCGAAUUGAUUUCGUUUGAUGACUGUGCUGACUACCAGAUCACGUCUAGGUUCAUCCCCCCUCUCUCACCUCUUCUCCCUCUGUCUUUCUGCUGCGCUCUUGUAUUCCCAUCACCAGCACUGCGCGCACACGUUCUGGCAAGAGCAGAGCCUCCAAAACACGUCCAGGUUCAUCCCCCC
rnacentral:lncRNA from 1 species